rnacentral:rRNA from 1 species
GACGAACGCUGGCGGCGUGCUUAACACAUGCAAGUCGAACGGUGAAGCGCCUUCCUUUUUGGUGGGUGUGGAUGAGUGGCGAACGGGUGAGUAACACGUGAGUAACCUGCCCCCUUCUUCUGGAUAACCGCAUGAAAGUGUGGCUAAUACGGGAUAUUCUGGGUCUGUCGCAUGAUGGGUCUGGGAAAGAUAUUGUUUCGGUGGGGGAUGGGCUCGCGGCCUAUCAGCUUGUUGGUGGGGUGAUGGCCUACCAAGGCGGUGACGGGUAGCCGGCCUGAGAGGGUGGACGGUCACACUGGGACUGAGACACGGCCCAGACUCAUACGGGAGGCAGCAGUGGGGAAUAUGGCACAAUGGGCGCAAGCCUGAUGCAGCGACGCCGCGUGAGGGAUGGAGGCCUUCGGGUUGUGAACCUCUUUCGCCAGUGAAGCAGGCCUGCCUCGUUUGUGGGUGGGUUGACGGUAGCUGGAGAAGAAGCGCCGGCUAACUACGUG